UACAGAGGUGCAAGCGUUGUUCGGAAUUAUUGGCGUAAAGCGCGUGUAGGCGGCUUUGCAAGUCGGGUGUGAAAGCCCUCAGCUCAACUGAGGAAGUGCGCCGAAACUGCAGAGCUUGAGUACCGGAGAGAUGGUGAAUUCCCAAGUAGAGUGAAAUUCGUAGAUAUGGGGGGGGAGAACACGUGCGAAGCACAUCUACGAUACUGACGCUGAGA
rnacentral:rRNA from 1 species